AUGAACGCUAGCUACAGGCUUAACACAUGCAAGUCGAGGGGCAUCAGGAAGAAAGCUUGCUUUCUUUGCUGGCGACCGGCGCACGGGUGAGUAACACGUAUCCAACCUGCCCUUUACUCGGGGAUAGCCUUUCGAAAGAAAGAUUAAUACCCGAUGGCAUAAUGAUUCCGCAUGGUUUCAUUAUUAAAGGAUUCCGGUAAAGGAUGGGGAUGCGUUCCAUUAGGUUGUUGGUGGGGUAACGGCCCACCAAGCCUUCGAUGGAUAGGGGUUCUGAGAGGAAGGUCCCCCACAUUGGAACUGAGACACGGUCCAAACUCCUACGGGAGGCAGCAGUGAGGAAUAUUGGUCAAUGGGCGCUAGCCUGAACCAGCCAAGUAGCGUGAAGGAUGAAGGCUCUAUGGGUCGUAAACUUCUUUUAUAUAAGAAUAAAGUGCAGUAUGUAUACUGUUUUGUAUGUAUUAUAUGAAUAAGGAUCGGCUAACUCCGUGCCAGCAGCCGCGAUAAUACGGAGGAUCCGAGCGUUAUCCGGAUUUAUUGGGUUUAAAGGGAGCGUAGGUGGACUGGUAAGUCAGUUGUGAAAGUUUGCGGCUCAACCGUAAAAUUGCAGUUGAUACUGUCAGUCUUGAGUACAGUAGAGGUGGGCGGAAUUCGUGGUGUAGCGGUGAAAUGCUUAGAUAUCACGAAGAACUCCGAUUGCGAAGGCAGCUCACUGGACUGCAACUGACACUGAUGCUCGAAAGUGUGGGUAUCAAACAGGAUUAGAUACCCUGGUAGUCCACACAGUAAACGAUGAAUACUCGCUGUUUGCGAUAUACAGUAAGCGGCCAAGCGAAAGCAUUAAGUAUUCCACCUGGGGAGUACGCCGGCAACGGUGAAACUCAAAGGAAUUGACGGGGGCCCGCACAAGCGGAGGAACAUGUGGUUUAAUUCGAUGAUACGCGAGGAACCUUACCCGGGCUUAAAUUGCAGUGGAAUGAUGUGGAAACAUGUCAGUGAGCAAUCACCGCUGUGAAGGUGCUGCAUGGUUGUCGUCAGCUCGUGCCGUGAGGUGUCGGCUUAAGUGCCAUAACGAGCGCAACCCUUAUCUUUAGUUACUAACAGGUUAUGCUGAGGACUCUAGAGAGACUGCCGUCGUAAGAUGUGAGGAAGGUGGGGAUGACGUCAAAUCAGCACGGCCCUUACGUCCGGGGCUACACACGUGUUACAAUGGGGGGUACAGAAGGCAGCUAGCGGGUGACCGUAUGCUAAUCCCAAAAUCCUCUCUCAGUUCGGAUCGAAGUCUGCAACCCGACUUCGUGAAGCUGGAUUCGCUAGUAAUCGCGCAUCAGCCACGGCGCGGUGAAUACGUUCCCGGGCCUUGUACACACCGCCCGUCAAGCCAUGGGAGCCGGGGGUACCUGAAGUACGUAACCGCAAGGAUCGUCCUAGGGUAAAACUGGUGACUGGGGCU
rnacentral:rRNA from 1 species